GACGAACGCUGGCGGCGUGCUUAACACAUGCAAGUCGAACGGAAAGGCCCUGCUUUUGUGGGGUGCUCGAGUGGCGAACGGGUGAGUAACACGUGAGUAACCUGCCCUUGACUUUGGGAUAACUUCAGGAAACUGGGGCUAAUACCGGAUAGGAGCUCCUGCUGCAUGGUGGGGGUUGGAAAGUUUCGGCGGUUGGGGAUGGACUCGCGGCUUAUCAGCUGGUUGGUGGGGUAGUGGCUUACCAAGGCUUUGACGGGUAGCCGGCCUGAGAGGGUGACCGGCCACAUUGGGACUGAGAUACGGCCCAGACUCCUACGGGAGGCAGCAGUGGGGAAUAUUGCACAAUGGGCGGAAGCCUGAUGCAGCAACGCCGCGUGCGGGAUGACGGCCUUCGGGUUGUAAACCGCUUUAGCCUGUGACGAAGCGUGAGUGACGGUAAUGGGUAAAGAAGCACCGGCUAACUACGUG
rnacentral:rRNA from 1 species